rnacentral:lncRNA from 1 species
AUAAUAGAAACUAUUUUAGAUAUUAAUAAUUUUUUUAGUUUAUAAAAUGAUUUUUAAUUUAAUUAAAUGAUAACUAAUUAUUUUGAUAUCUUAAAUUAAUUUUUAUUUAAUAAUUUUCUUAUAGUGUUAUAUAUUAAAUGGAGGUUUCUUCUUUAGUGAUGAUGUAUAAUUCGUAGAAAUACAAAUAUAUAGUUUGAUAAUUAGAAUGUAAUUAAAGAUAAUAUAGGUGAUUAAUAUUAGAGAUCAAUCCUUCCACAUGCUUUCUUCUAAUGUAUGCACGUGGUUGAUUAUAUAUAUAUAUACUUCAAAAGUAGCUAAAGAGAUAAAUUCAUACAGAGAUUUUUCUAAUAUGUUGUAAUUUAAUUUAUAUAUUUAAGGUGUUUAUGGUUUGUGGUUGUAUUAUAUAUAUGACGAACAAUGUAUAAGGAUCAAUCAUCAUAUUGAAUGGUACGAACUAUUUGCUCACGACCAGAGACUGAAUAAUCUAAGGUAAAGAAAGACAACGUUAAACGGAAGUUGCUUUAAAGAUUUUUCCGUACAAGUUUGUCAUCUCAUUUCAAUAAUUUUUUUUUAAUUUCAAUAAUUUUUUUAAUUUCUAAUAUAUAAUUAUAAGAGUUUGAUCUUAUCUUUAAUGUAUUAAUUUUUUUAGAUAUCUUGAAUACAUUUAAUAUUCCUAAAAGGCUAUAAUAAUAUAAAUAACAAUUUUUGUUUAUUUUUCCGUUUCAAUAUAACUAUUUACAAAAUAAGGAAUACAGUAAACAAAACAUUGUUUUUAUAAAUAAUUAUUAGUAAAUAUAAUAAAUGUAAGAAAAUCAAACUAAAUAAAUGUUUAGUUUUCAUUCUACUAUAGUAGAGUAUAUUAUGAGUAUGUAUAUUAUGCAUGUGUAUUAUGUGUGUUAUAUCAAGAGAAUAAAAGGAAUGUGUUAUUUGGAUAUAUAAAAUGAACUUUAAUGUAUGAUAAUUGAGUGAUUCGUGGGUUAGAAGAUCCUUUACUUACUAUAAUAGAAUUGACGAUCACUCUAAUCAGUUUGACUUUAGUGAUUUGAACAACACAACUAAUAAGGUAUUGAGGCGUGUUUAGAUAGUUGUCACAUUCAAGAUUUUGGAAACAUAGAAACAAAGUCUUAUUUAAAAGGAGUAGGGAUGGACCACGAGAAAAUUUUUACAAUGACACAAAUUAAGGUCGAUACAUAGAUAAAAUAUUAUAUAUAAUAACACUAUCUUUUCUUAUUCUUACUGAUGCCUAAAUCUAUUUGAAUGUUUGAAGUUUGUUAAGUGAGACUAAUGUCAAUAAAGGGAUGUCUAAUAAGAGUUUUAAAUUAAUUGAUGAAAGACAAUGGGUCACAUAGGCCUUUUCAAUGGGAUUUUAUAAUUUUUUCUUGGAUAUGCCUUUGUUUUUGUCAUCUUAACCUGUGUAGGUUAAGGAAACAAAUAUCUUUAUUAAUCCUCUGCAAGUCAAAAUCCGAUGUGAUUCCUGUUGAUGCUUUAAUUUCUGUGACAGUUGAAAAGGAAAUUAUCAUUGGAAGGGGUUUGUAACAUAUUCUUCAUCUAAUGUCCUCGUCACUAAGUUGUUCUCAUAUUGGGGUGACUUACAAUUUAAUUGAGGUUUAUGGUGUGUGUAAGUAUAUCUUCUCUACAUUCCUGAGAAGUUUGCAGGUCAAUGUAACCUUUAAGAGGCCUCUUCGAGUGGGGUUUAUUAUGGUAUCUUACAAAUUGUUUAGUGAAUAUUUUGUUGGAGUGAUGUUGUGAAUUCUUAGUUGUAAUUUUUGAGAAAAACUAGUCUUUUUGAUUAGGAAGUGCUACAUGUCGACCACUAUUGAAGGGUAUUGAUUACAUUUUUGUCCUCUUGUGAAUCAUGUACAACUAUUAUUGUAUUUUUGUAAAAG